CCUCAGGAGAGAAACCAGCUGCUGCUCAGAGAGAAGCAGUCAAAGAUGGUGAGGGGUCUGUAGUGAAGAGCAAACCCAGGAUCAGCCGAAAGGCUCUGACAAGCCACACUGUGAGCUCCAGGUCAACUCAGGAGACAAAGCGGGACUCAGAAAAAGACCAAAAGAGUGUGUCCUCUAAACCGCCAGAGCUGCCUCCGUGUAGCCCUGUGAACAGCCGUGACCGCAGCCCAAGUGUCAGCCCAUCACCCAGCCUGGUCAGGGAGGAGCCACUCAUUCAGCCCCCCCCUCGCUCCAAGUGGGAGAGAGAGGAUGACGAAGAGGGGCAGGAAAAUGGAGUUAGUGCACCCAAGGAGCCCUCACCACCGCCUCAGAGGAGCCGAGGCAGAGACGGGCAGACUGACGCACUUAAACCUGUCAGGAGUGAAGGCCGGGAUGCCAUAAGGGAGGAGAGGAGAGGAGUAGUGAGGGACGACAGGAAAGGAAGAGCACCAAGGGAAGAGGGUAAGGGUGGCAGGGUGGCACAGACAAAUUCUGACAAACCAAACAAAACGAAAAUUGCGAGGGAGGAGGGAAGAGGGGUAAGAGAAGA